UACGGAGGGGGCUAGCGUUGUUCGGAAUUACUGGGCGUAAAGCGCGCGCAGGCGGCUCUCCAAGUCAGAGGUGAAAGCCCGGAGCUCAACUCCGGAACUGCCAUUGAAACUGGUCGGCUAGAGUACGAGAGAGGUGAGUGGAAUUCCCAGUGUAGAGGUGAAAUUCGUAGAUAUUCGCAAGAACAUCAGUGGCGAAGGCGGCUCACUGGCCCGGUACUGACGCUGAGGUGCGAAAGCGUGGGGAGCAAACAGG
rnacentral:rRNA from 1 species